GCCCCGGUAGCUCAGCCCGGUCGGAGCGCCCAGGGGCGGAGCCCCGUAUGGGGCCUGCCGCGCGCAGGCCUUGUAGCGACCCCGCGAGACAGCGGGAGGUCCCGGGUUCGAAUCCCGGCCGGGGCU
rnacentral:tRNA from 1 species